ACGGGAGGCAGCAGUGAGGAAUAUUGGUCAAUGGACGGAAGUCUGAACCAGCCAAGUCGCGUGAAGGAUGAAGGUAUUAUGUAUUGUAAACUUCUUUAGCAGUGGAGUAAUAAGGGGAUCGUGAUCCCUGAUGCAAGUACACUGAGAAUAAGGAUCGGCUAACUCCGUGCCAGCAGCCGCGGUAAUACGGAGGAUGCGAGCGUUAUCCGGAUUUAUUGGGUUUAAAGGGUGCGCAGGCGGCACGUUAAGUCAGCGGUGAAAUGUCGGGGCUCAACCCGGGCACUGCCGUUGAAACUGGCGAGCUUGAGUACGGAUGAAGUCGGCGGAAUGUGAUGUGUAGCGGUGAAAUGCUUAGAUAUGUCACAGAACACCGAUUGCGAAGGCAGCUGACUAAUCCGCAACUGACGCUCAGGCACGAAAGCGUGGGGAUCGAACAGGAUUAGAUACCCUGGUA
rnacentral:rRNA from 1 species